UACAUGGGGUGCAAACGUUGCUCGGAAUUAUUGGGCGUAAAGCGCACGUAGGCGGUUUGUUAAGUCGGAUGUGAAAUCCCUCGGCUCAACUGAGGAAGUGCAUCCGAAACUGGCAGGCUUGAGUACUAAAGAGGGUCGCGGAAUUCCCGGUGUAGAGGUGAAAUUCGUAGAUAUCGGGAGGAACACCGGUGGCGAAGGCGGCGACCUGGGUAGAUACUGACGCUGAGGUGGCGAAAAGC
rnacentral:rRNA from 1 species